AGCUGCCACCUUGCAUUGGAGGCUCCUUGGAGGUUUUGCUGUUAGUGGAGUCUCAAACAGCUGGUGCCAUGCAGGGAGAGCAAGCUGAAGAGUCAAGAGGAUGUCAGGGUCACCUGGAAUGAUCUCAGCAUUUCCAUACAAGCAGUAGAGAGCUGCUAUUUCCAGUGUCAGACUUGCUUUCUGGUCCAGCAGACCACGCUUUGAAUUCUGUGGGGUGUGUGUGGCUGGCUGAAUUUCAGCACCGUGUUUACUGAGUGUGCAGGCUUUGUGCAGGAAAUGGUGGACUUCACUGCUGGCACCAGUGUAAGAAAGGAAGGUUUUCUUAGGAGCUGCCUGAUGUGUUACCCAAAGUGCAUUAAGCAUCUUUAACCAGAGGAGGAUGCUUCCUUGUCUCCAGUACUAAAAAGCAGUUUCUGAUUUGAGGCAGAAGAUGGGAACUGGGAGGAGUGGCUAUUGACUGUGCUGGAAUGAUGCUGCACCACCCUGGCCUGGCCUGAUUGCUGGAAGAAUGACAGAGAAUCAAGGAAACAGAGAGCACUGACCUGUGUUUUGGAACAGACCCCUUGUUACAGCAGUGCUGAAUAUUGGCAGAUACGUCAGACACUGAAGCCAGGAGAAAACAAGCAUCCUUCCUCCCCAGAAAGAGGUGUGGGAGUGUGCCUGCUGCAGAAGUUGCUGUCACAUCGAGGAGGAAGGGGAGGCAUUGUAGGGGUGCAGAGCCUGAAUGACCUGAGUGAAAGCAGAUACCUCCUGCAGGUGCCUGGAAGAGGUUUUGCAGGAGGGUCCUUAUGAGCACAGCUUAGUGCCAGAGCCCUUGGCCUCCCCCUUCCUUUUGUCUUGGGGCUGAUGGCUGAAAUGCUGGAUGUCCAGGAAUCAGAUGAUUUCCCAGUCACUAUUCUGUUCCUGGAAAAGCUUUUUCUGCUAAUGAGGGCCUUAUGUUUAUGAUUUGCUUCGCUAUGCAGAAAAGCUUCUACUGAGACUGUAAUGCAGAAGACAACAUUUGUCUCCUUCUCCAAGAGAUGAUCUGAGUCAGUGAGUGGAUGCCAAGAGACUGGGCCUUUUAUUUGCUGUUGAGAAGGGAACUCUCUUUUUUUCUUUCUUCCCUUUCCAAAGCGAAAAGCUGUGUAGUGUUUCUCUGGUCCCACACAGAAUAACGAAGAAAUACCUAUAUUUUACAAAUGAAGACACAGAACAUCACACUUUGUUUUUAGACUCAUCUUCCACGAGAUCCCAGUAUUGUCUGUACUUCCAGCACCGUGUAGUUGAUGCAUAAUUAACGAG